AUUCAGCUGAUGAGUCCCAAAUUAGACGAAACGCGCGUUCUCAAU
rnacentral:hammerhead_ribozyme from 1 species